CGGUUUAUAACGUUAUGUCGAAUGUAGUUAGUUCGUUUGACGCACUUCGUUUACUUAUACAAAAUUUUAAUGAAAUAAACAUUUGGUGAUUAAAUUUACUUCUCUGGACGUGAACUAUUAUCAUAUGAAGAAGAAAUUAUAAAUAGCAAGGAGAAUAAGUACGCUUUUAUCAUAUGAACUUCAAUUAUAUGAAUUACGUAUUUAUCCCACGAUAAAUUCAAAUAAAUGUAAUUCUACUGUAUACUCAAUUCGAACGUGAAAAUUGGUAAAAUUUGAAACAAAGUCAAGGUACUGAAGAAGUGGAUAUAACAUAAAGUACUUUCUCGUAUUCAACGAUUUACAAAGAUUUUGCAUAACCUUCACUUCCACCAUAGGAUACGAUAUUUGAGGGACGAUCUUUUCUGAACAGAGAUAACAUUAAUGACGAUAUCUUUCGCGUCUAAUGAGUUGCAUGUAACUUUUAUUCUUCCAGUCACCCAAUCAUGUCGUAGGGCGAAUAGUCCGAAUCGACACGGGUGAUUGGUUAGAUAACGUAAAUCUUCUACCUGCGAGUAAUAAUAUUUUAUGCUUCAUUUAUCAAUUCAGGAUAGAGUUAAUCGCUAAUAAAACAAUGGUCGCUAGCCACUGUCAGUUGAUUUCAGGAAAAUGUUACGUUAAUUAGAAUGUAAAAGUUGUAUGUCAGACUCGAAUGUUGGAGACGUUUCGGAACCUCUCCCUAGUGUAAGCUUUUCGCAUCCGGAAGGUAUGUCUGAGAACUGAAGGAUGAUUGUGUUGGUUUACUUGAUUCUUGCCAUUUUUCCAAAUCUAGUGUUAGGUAGACAGGUAGCAUACCUUCUGGUGUGAGUGUUAAUUAUAAAUGGGUAGGAUCAGGACAAAUCAGACAGUCUCCGAUCGGGUAGGCACGUUAUAGCGUGUCCAACCUGUCUUUGGAAUUCAAAUUUAAGAAACCGACCGUAAAACUGGCACGAGUAGAAAAUACAACUUGUCUCUAGUUUCACUUAUCGCUUAAUUAAAUUCAUUAUUACAGUCGUGGUCACAAGAUGGCUUUCAAAACGAACUUGUGAUUUUAUAAUUAUGUAUGGGCAUUAUAAUGGUUUGCACGUACGUAUGUAAGACAAUGGUUAACCAUGGUUCCUUUUUCUUUUUUUUUUUUUUUUUUUUUUUUUUGUAAUUAGAGAUUUUCGGGACUAAAUUUAGAAGAGACCCGACAAAUUUAAUGCAAUGAAAUGAUAGUUGUGUUUGUUUUAGUGUUACGAAUAACGAGAUAUCGCGAUUGUUUUUAGAACUUUUUGAUUAUUAGUUGCCAGAAUUUAUUUCCUUAUAAUUUUUCCCUAAAUAAAUAAUAAAUAAAUAAGUAA